rnacentral:rRNA from 1 species
AGUGAACGCUGGCGGUAGGCCUAACACAUGCAAGUCGAACGGCAGCACAGUAAGAGCUUGCUCUUACGGGUGGCGAGUGGCGGACGGGUGAGGAAUACAUCGGAAUCUACUUUUUCGUGGGGGAUAACGUAGGGAAACUUACGCUAAUACCGCAUACGACCUACGGGUGAAAGCAGGGGAUCUUCGGACCUUGCGCGAUUGAAUGAGCCGAUGUCGGAUUAGCUAGUCGGCGGGGUAAAGGCCCACCAAGGCGACGAUCCGUAGCUGGUCUGAGAGGAUGAUCAGCCACACUGGAACUGAGACACGGUCCAGACUCCUACGGGAGGCAGCAGUGGGGAAUAUUGGACAAUGGGCGCAAGCCUGAUCCAGCCAUACUGCGUGGGUGAAGAAGGCCUUCGGGUUGUAAAGCCCUUUUGUUGGGAAAGAAAAGCAGCAGGUUAAUACCCCGCUGUUCUGACGGUACCCAAAGAAUAAGCACCGGCUAACUUCGUG